UUUAUUUCCAUAUUCUAGCUAUCUAAUCAAAGGAUAAAAUCAAAGAAUAAAAAAAUUAAACAGCAUCAAUAUUUUUGUAAACAAUUCUUCUGAUAUUUUAUAAUUUUACUAUAUACCGUUUGCAAGAAAUUGAUAGCGAUUUUUCAUAUCACGACUUUGGCGAUUAAGAUGAUUUUUUUUAUGACAACAUAACCGACGUCAAUAUAGCAACCCUGAAUUGCACAGGAGUGAAGAAUCUCAGGCUUAUAUUCUACUGUGCUAAAGAGACAUCUCCUGUGACAGCUGAAUCGUUGGUUAUCGUGUUUUUCAAGGCUUUUCUACUAUUACAUGAAUGGGAAAAGACCUGAAUAAAACAUCAAUGAAAUGACUUAGGUAAACAGUUCAGUCUAGAAGUAGAUUGCAGAGUAAAAGCUUAUGAGAUGAACAGUGUGCAUACUGACCAAGAAAAAAUGGAGCAUUCAGAAUGCUUUAUACUUUAAAUUUUCAACUUGCUGAUGCUGCUCCCUCAUAGCCUUAACCACCCAACUACCUGCAGCUCAUGAAAAGAAGCACGUAAAUCUUGAAAUAAGUGAACCAAAUAUUAUUGAACUAUAUAAGUCAACUAAAAGUGAAAUUGGCAUGCUUGAGAAAUUGUGUACUGUGUUGAGCUGCCGUAAGAAGAAUGUCGAUGUCAUGAUAGAGGAUGACAGGGGGAGUGUACUCAUUUUGAAAUGAGUACUAUACAGUUAAUUUAGCACCAAACUUUAUGAUUUAAGUUUGAAUAUCUGUGGUAGAAUGUAAGACAAGGGAAUGACAUUUGUGUUACAUAAAAAAAAUCAAGGUGUGUUCAUCUUCCACAAUGCAUUUAUUCCUUUGUUUUCACUGUACACUCAGUACCUGAUAGUAUUUUUAGAAUUACUAUUGGAGCAUGCUGAACUACUCCAUGCCACCUAACAGUGAAGUUCCAGCAGAAUAACCUUUCAUCUGCAACCAUGAGUCACCAUUUCUGAACAUAUAUGAACAUGCAAUGUUUCCCUGUGACUUCAUGAUAACUGGAAUAAAUGUAAAUUAAAUUGAAUUAUUUCACACACAGUUUACAAUAAUAAUAAUACAGUGUGGUAUUACAUUAACUGUGUAAUGCUUAUUAAAAAUGAGCAUAUUGUCGUGUGACACUUUGUACAUCUUUUUCGCAUAACAAAUAUGAUCUUAAUAAAUAGUUACAUAAUAUAUGAAUGUAUAAUUGUUUCAUAAGAAAUGUAUAUAUUGAAAUGCCAGUAAGUAGAUGCAAAUAUUUUGGAGAGCGGCAACUUUGAAUUAAAUUGGAUUUUAAAGAGGAUUGAAAUACCUAUUUUAUCUCAUCGUAUGAAGCAUUCAGUUGAAGUACUUUUGAACUGAAGAUUUUGCAUUCAAGAAAAGAAAAGUUAAUGAAUUUUGCUCAUCAGAACUAAAAAGCAGAACUAUAUACUUUUGUAAAUGCUGUUCAAAAACAGUUUGUAAACAAAGCUUCGUUUUUUUAGAGCAUGAAAAUAAAACCUGAAAUCAAAAUUUAUGGAAACCAACUUUUUAAUAAAAAGUUAAAUUUAUAGUGAUGUAAAGCAAGUCUUAAAUAGUUUGAAAAAAUAAUUGGUUCAAUCUGUUAGAUAAUUGUUUAAUAAGUACAUUAUCAUUUCUUAAGAGUUUGUAAUCUAGGGUUAAUAGUGUUAUUACUUUUAAAAUGGUAAGCAGAAAAAGUGAAUAUCUUCAAAUUUUUUUAAUGGAGGUUUAAUUUUAUUAUAUGUUUUAAGAGCUAGCAUAUUAGAAGUAAUUUCUAAUCCUUGUAUUAUUUGCCUUGAUUGAGUUUUAUUUCUUUAAAAAGACAAUAUAUAAAUAUGUUAGUAUUAUAAAUGAUGUAUUAUCGAUUUUACUAAUUAUUGUGAACCAUGAAUAAAUUAUGGAUUAUUUUCUUGAAUACUGUUUUUCCAUGCUGAAAUGUACAUUGUACAGCUGAAGGUUUGAAAUUAUAAUUAAAGAAAUUGCAAAGAUAUUCCAUAUUGAAGAGAUACUAAAUUAAGUUAUUGCAUUGUGUGUUUUUGACGCAACAUUUAUAAUUUGUGAAUACUAAUUUUGUAUAUAUGUGGGAUUUAAAAACUUUAAUAAUGUUUUUAAUCUAGAUGUAGUAUAAUAACAUUCUCUGCUUUUUGCAUUACAGCUUAUUCUUAUAAAAACAAAGGUGUCGCUGAUUUUUAAACUAGGCUUAAACAUCAUUCUGGAAUGUAUGAUCUAAUAAUACUAGUCAUCAGAUGUUUUAUCACAAAAUAAGUAAAGCAUAUUUUCCAUGCAUUCAUAUACCUGAUUUCAAAUAUGUCCUCAAUUUUUUUAAUACCAUUAAUAGCUUUUGUUUGAUGUCAUUUGAUAGUAUGCAGAUACUACUUAGAUACAAGCAGGUAAUUAUAUAUUAGCAAACAAAGCAUAAAUUAUAAUAAGUAAUUUAUUUUUGAAUUUUUUCAAAUAUUUUAUAUAUAUUCAUAUUUCCAUAUUUUAUAUCCUUUUUCUGGUUUGCAGUUAACUGUAAUAAGAAAUUGGUUUCUCUAAAGUGUAUUCAGUAAUUUAGUAAUUUUUGUAGUUGCCAUUGUAUCUUCAGUAUUAAAUUUUUUCAUCUAUGAUUCAUUGAAUUUAGUCUGUAAUUAUUUUAAUGGAACAAGAGAUAGGGCUAAUAAUGUGUUUAUUAUUGCUUCUGUUAUGUUUUUGUAAGGUAAUAGUUAAAACUCAAAAACACAUAAAAAUGCUGUCAGAUCUCAUGUAUCCUGAUUUUUGUCAUAAAGACAAAAUAAUGACAAUGCACAAUGUAAUUAUUUUCUCCUGAAUGUGAAAGAAUUAAAGUAUUCCUUAAUUCUUUCUGAAUUCACAAGUGGAGUGAUGUUAACAAAGAAUUUUGUAUUUGUUUCAUAUUGAAUUCUGAAGAAUACUAUCGUCUUUUAUCUUAACUAGAAUAAGUAUAAAUUAAACAGUCUGAAAUAAAGUACAUUGCUAAAUUUAGUGUAAAAAUUUACAAAAUAUAAAUGAAACUCGAAUUAUGUUUAAUAAUUGAUGAAGCUGUAUGAAAUGUUCUUUAAAAACGAAGUUUCAUUAAAAUAGCUUAUUUUUUAGUUCUUUUCAUUUGUAUUAAAAAUAUAUCAAGGAUAAUAAGUCUGAAUGGAGUUAUGAGAUGAGAUGAUAUCAUAGUAUAAUUUGGUGCUUUUUAUAUUUUAAUUAGCUUUUCUAAUAAUAACAGUCUUUUUUAAUAAGGAAUGACAAUAAUGAUCAACAGGACUAUACAGUAUGUAAGCAUAACAUUAUAAUGUAAUGUGUCAUUUGUUAACCAUUAUUGUUUUUCUCCUGUUUAAGAAGUUUGAUUAUGAUAGUUUCACUUUUUCUCAUACAUAAUCUAUUAAAACAUUAAUUUUAACUAUCCAUGGGAACUAAAAAGAUAAAAAGAGUUAAUAUGAUAUAUGGCAUUAUAGGUGGUUGACCAUAUUUCUAUGACACAAGAAUGGGACAUCGAGAUGGCAGAGCUGAGAUGAGGAUUAAUAAAAGAACAUAAUAGAAAAUAUUUUAUGAUUAUAAAACGUGUAAAAUUUUAUCAUCAUUCUUUAGUAAUUGAAAUCAUAUUGAAGCUAAAAUGUGCUGUUGAAGCAAGUGAUAUUUCACCUGGUUUGAACCAUAAACAUAUCUCUGACAAAAGUUAUACAGGAAAUUUGAGUCUUUCAAAGCCUUAUCCUAAAACUUCUCACAUUCCAUGACACAGAUUUGUCAUGCAACGAAUACAACUGUUAUAGUCUUUGUACUUGACCAUGAUUUCUGUUAUUCUGUUUAUUCCAGAUAUAACUGUUAUUCCUGGAAAAGGUUUUAUACCUGAAUUAUUUUGUAAUAGUGUGAUUUUUUGUCAUAACACCCCUUUAAAAACAUAUUGUGAUAUUUUAAUCAACUUCCUUAAAUAAUGGAUUUUCAGAUAUUUAAACAUAGCAAAUCUUAACAAUUCUCUAAGUCUAAAUAAUUAAACAGUGUACUGUAAUUUUUUUUACUACAUUGACUUUGGAAAGAGAUAUAGCAGCAGAUUUUUUAUGCAUGAGAAUUUAAUAAAAUUUUGAAAUUUUUACUGUAAAAUAAAUUAAAUGAGUUUUUUUUCCUUGAUAUGUAAGUUUGUAGGUAAAGAAAAUGCUGCAUUUUAUCAUUUUGUCUUUUAUAUUGAUUUAUGAAAAUGUAAAGUUUGAGUAAUAAAUUUUUCAAAUUUUUGGUUUUAA